AGUGAACGCUGGCGGCAGGCCUAACACAUGCAAGUCGAGCGGCAGCACGGUGAGAGCUCGCCUUUACGGGUGGCGACUGGCGGGUGGGUGAUGCGUACAUAGCAUUCUUAUUUGUCUUGGGUGAUAACGUGGGGACGCAUACGAUAAUGGAUCAUAUGACGUACGGGAGGGAGCAGUGGAUCUUCGGGCAUUGGGCGAUACUAAGAGCCGAUGUCGGAUUAGCUAGUUGAGGGGGUAAAGGCCCACCAAGGCGACGAUACGUAGCUGGUCUGAGAGGAUGAUCAGCCACACUGGAACUGAGACACGGUCCAGACUCCUACGGGAGGCAGCAGUGGGGAAUAUUGGACAAAGGGCGAAAGCCUGAUCCAGCCAUGCCGCGUGAGUGAAGAAGGUCUUCGGAUUGUAAAGCCCUUUUAUUGGGGAAGAAAAGAAGUAUGUUAAUACCUCGCUGUUUUGACGGUACCCAAAGAAUAAGCACCGGCUAACUUCGUG
rnacentral:rRNA from 1 species